rnacentral:rRNA from 1 species
ACGAACGCUGGCGGCGUGCUUAACACAUGCAAGUCGAACGGAAAGGCCCUGCUUUUGUGGGGUGCUCGAGUGGCGAACGGGUGAGUAACACGUGAGUAACCUGCCCUUGACUUUGGGAUAACUUCAGGAAACUGGGGCGAAUACCGGAUAGGAGCUCCUGCUGCAUGGUGGGGGUUGGAAAGUUUCGGCGGUUGGGGAUGGACUCGCGGCUUAUCAGCUUGUUGGUGGGGUAGUGGCUUACCAAGGCUUUGACGGGUAGCCGGCCUGAGAGGGUGACCGGCCACAUUGGGACUGAGAUACGGCCCAGACUCCUACGGGAGGCAGCAGUGGGGAAUAUUGCACAAUGGGCGGAAGCCUGAUGCAGCAACGCCGCGUGCGGGAUGACGGCCUUCGGGUUGUAAACCGCUUUCGCCUGUGACGAAGCGUGAGUGACGGUAAUGGGUAAAGAAGCACCGGCUAACUACGUG